AUACAUGAUUGCAAUUAGGAAAUUGAAGACAAAAUUAAUGGUGAAAACCGCACAUUGAUAUGUCAAACCGUUUCGAAGUUAAGAAAACCCUGCAAAUCAGAAAUUAAAUGAAUAUGUUGCUAACUGGCGUAGGCUACUGAUAUUUAUUGCUGACUGGUUUAGGUUGUGAAUUAAUUAGUGAUUUAAGUGUGAUGUGAAUAAAAUGAAAAGUUUAAUUUUCAA